UAAAACUUAAUUUAAUAAAAAUAUUAAUUUUGUAAAUUAAUUUUGUAAAUUUUAAAUUUAUAGUUUUAAAA
rnacentral:tRNA from 1 species